AUCAGGAAUAGGCCGACGGGCUGAAAAGCGAAAAGAACCCCUUUCCCGCUUUCCUGAUUAAUCAUAGGGG
rnacentral:sRNA from 1 species